rnacentral:tRNA from 1 species
ACAUCAGUAGUUUAGUGGUAAAAUUCAUCGUCACCAUCGAUAGGCUCCGCGUUCGAUUCGCGGCUGAUGCG